rnacentral:rRNA from 1 species
ACCUUCUGUCUGAAUUAUAUCAAUAACAUUUGUUAAAACUUUCAACAACGGAUCUCUUGGUUCUCGCAUCGAUGAAGAACGCAGCGAAAUGCGAUAAGUAGUGUGAAUUGCAGAAUUCAGUGAAUCAUCGAAUCUUUGACGCACAUUGCGCCCCAUGGUAUCCCGUGGGGCAUGCC